CGUCUGGGCGCAGCCUGAUCUAGCCAUGCCGCGUGAGUGAUGAAGGCCUUAGGGUCGUAAAGCUCUUUCGCCUGUGAUGAUAAUGACAGUAGCAGGUAAAGAAACCCCGGCUAACUCCGUGCCAGCAGCCGCGGUAAUACGGAGGGGGUUAGCGUUGUUCGGAAUUACUGGGCGUAAAGCGCGCGUAGGCGGAUUAGAAAGUUGGGGGUGAAAUCCCGGGGCUCAACCCCGGAACUGCCUCCAAAACUGCUAGUCUAGAGUUCGAGAGAGGUGAGUGGAAUUCCGAGUGUAGAGGUGAAAUUCGUAGAUAUUCGGAGGAACACCAGUGGCGAAGGCGGCUCACUGGCUCGAUACUGACGCUGAGGUGCGAAAGUGUGGGGAGCAAACAGGAUUAGAUACCCUGGUAGUCCACACCGUAAACGAUGAAUGCCAGUCGUCGGAUAGUAUACUAUUCGGUGACACACCUAACGGAUUAAGCAUUCCGCCUGGGGAGUACGGUCGCAAGAUUAAAACUCAAAGGAAUUGACGGA
rnacentral:rRNA from 1 species